rnacentral:rRNA from 1 species
AAGUCUGACCUGCCCACUGAAGUUUUUUAAAUGGCCGCAGUAUUCUAACUGUGCAAAGGUAGCAUAAUCAUUAGUCUUUUAAUUGGAGGCUGGUAUGAACGGUUGGACGAGGUAUAUACUGUUUCAUAUGAAUUUAUAGUAGAAUUUUAUUUUUUAGUCAAAAAGCUAAAAUAACAUUAAAAGACGAGAAGACCCUAUAAAUCUUUAUAUUUAAUAUAAUUUAAAUUUUUUGGAUUGAUUUUAUUUUUAUUUUAUUAAGUAUUUUGUUGGGGUGAUGUUAAAAUUUAAUGAACUUUUAAUUGUUUAAAAUCAUUUAUUUAUGAGUUAUUGAUCCAUUAUUAUUGAUUAUAAGAUUAAGUUACUUUAGGGAUAACAGCGUAAUUUUUUUGGAGAGUUCAUAUCGAUAAAAAAGUUUGCGACCUCGAUGUUGGAUUAAGAUAUAUUUUUAGGUGUAGCUGCUUAAAU